rnacentral:rRNA from 1 species
GCCCUUAGAGUUUGAUCAUGGCUCAGAUUGAACGCUGGCGGUAGGCUUAACACAUGCAAGUCGAGCGGAAACGAAGGUAGCUUGCUACCAGGCGUCGAGCGGCGGACGGGUGAGUAACGCGUGGGAAUUUGCCUAGUAGUGCCCGGAGAAAUCCGGAUUAAUACCGCAUAAUCUCUACGGAGUAAAGGUGGCCUCUCCUUGGAAGCUAUCGCUACUAGAUAAGCCCGCGUCAGAUUAGCUUGUUGGUGAGGUAAAGGCUCACCAAGGCGACGAUCUGUAGCUGGUCUGAGAGGAUGAUCAGCCACACUGGAACUGAGACACGGUCCAGACUCCUACGGGAGGCAGCAGUGGGGAAUAUUGGACAAUGGGCGCAAGCCUGAUCCAGCCAUGCCGCGUGAAUGAUGACGGCCUUAGGGUUGGUAAAGCACUUUCAGUGGGGAGGAAGGUAUCAAGUUUAAUAUGCUUGGUAAUUGACGUUACCCACAGAAGAAGGACCGGCUAACUCCGUGCCAGCAGCCGCGGUAAUACGGAGGGUCCGAGCGUUAAUUGGAAUGACUGGGCGUAAAGCGCGCGUAGGUGGUUAUUUAAGUUGGAUGUGAAAGCCCAGGGCUCAACCUUGGAACUGCAUCCAAAACUGGGUAACUAGAGUACAGUAGAGGGGGGUAGAAUUUCAGGUGUAGCGGUGAAAUGCGUAGAGAUUGGAAGGAAUACCAGUGGCGAAGGCGGCCUCCUGGACUGAUACUGACACUGAGGUGCGAAAGCGUGGGGAGCAAACAGGAUUAGAUACCCUGGUAGUCCACGCCGUAAACGAUGUCUACUAGCCGUAGGGCCCCUUAGAGGGUUUGUGGCGCAGCUAACGCACUAAGUAGACCGCCUGGGGAGUACGGCCGCAAGGUUAAAACUCAAAUGAAUUGACGGGGGCCCGCACAAGCGGUGGAGCAUGUGGUUUAAUUCGACGCAACGCGAAGAACCUUACCACCCCUUGACAUCCUCAGAACUUGUUAGAAAUAACUUGGUGCCUUCGGGAAUCUAGUGACAGGUGCUGCAUGGCUGUCGUCAGCUCGUGUUGUGAAAUGUUGGGUUAAGUCCCGUAACGAGCGCAACCCUUGUCCUUAGUUGCUAACAGUUUGGCUGAGAACUCUAAGGAGACUGCCGGUGACAAACCGGAGGAAGGUGGGGACGACGUCAAGUCAUCAUGGCCCUUACGUCUUGGGCUACACACGUGCUACAAUGGGGAAUACAGAGGGCCGCGAUACCGCGAGGUGGAGCUAAUCCCUUAAAACCGUUCGUAGUCCGGAUUGGAGUCUGCAACUCGACUCCAUGAAGCCGGAAUCGCUAGUAAUCGCGAAUCAGCAUGUCGCGGUGAAUACGUUCCCGGGCCUUGUACACACCGCCCGUCACACCAUGGGAGUGGGUUGCAAAAGAAGUGGGUAGACUAACCUUCGGGAGGUCGCUCACCACUUUGUGAUUCAUGACUGGGGUGAAGUCGUAACAAGUAGCC